CCUACGGGAGGCAGCAGUGGGGAAUCUUGCGCAAUGCGCGAAAGCGUGACGCAGCAACGCCGCGUGGGGGAAGACGGCCUUCGGGUUGUAAACCUCUUUCAGGGGGGACGAAGCCCGAGCGGUGAACAGCCGCUUCGGGUGACGGUACCUCCACAAGAAGCCCCGGCUAACUACGUGCCAGCAGCCGCGGUAAUACGUAGGGGGCUAGCGUUGUCCGGAAUCAUUGGGCGUAAAGAGCGUGUAGGCGGUCCGGUAAGUCCGCUGUGAAAGUCAGGGGCUCAACCCUUGAAUGCCGGCGGAUACUGCCGGGCUAGAGUCCGGAAGAGGCGAGUGGAAUUCCCGGUGUAGCGGUGAAAUGCGCAGAUAUCGGGAGGAACACCUAUGGCGAAGGCAGCUCGCUGGGACGGUACUGACGCUGAGACGCGAAAGCGUGGGGAGCA
rnacentral:rRNA from 1 species